rnacentral:rRNA from 1 species
UACGUAGGUGGCAAGCGUUGUCCGGAAUUAUUGGGCGUAAAGCGCGCGCAGGCGGUCCUUUAAGUCUGAUGUGAAAGCCCACGGCUCAACCGUGGAGGGUCAUUGGAAACUGGGGGACUUGAGUGCAGAAGAGGAGAGUGGAAUUCCACGUGUAGCGGUGAAAUGCGUAGAGAUGUGGAGGAACACCUGUGGCGAAGGCAGCUCGCUGGGACGGUACUGGACGCUGAGGCGCGAAAGCAUGGGGAGCGAACAGG